AUGAGGAUGUUUGCAUACGGAGCUCCCGGUGAUUCACCGGAAGACUAUGGGCGCAUGGCCGAGUCCACGACUAUUGAGUGUUUCUACAAGUUCUGCAGGGUAGUGGUGGCAGUGUUUGGACCGCAAUACUUGGGAUCACCUAAUGUUAAAGACACUGCUCGGAUCCUAGCACAGAAUGCAGCAAGAGGAUUUCCAGGAUGCUUGGAAGCAUCGUCUGCAUGCAUUGGAAAUGGAAAAACUGCCCAUUUGCUUGGCAGGGGAUGUAUAAAGGUGCCAAAGGCGGUUGCCGUGUGGUACUUGAGGCAGUGGCCACACACGACCUAUGUAUUUGGCUGCUCCCCUGUCUUUGCCAAGCUUGUGAAAGGUCAUUCUCCUCCGAUGAACUUUGAGUUCAAUGGGUGGCACUACAACAAGGGAUACUACCUAGCAGAUGUCAUCUAUCCAAGAUGCCACAUUUGUGAAGACUAUCUCAAACCCUGUGCCAGGAGGCAAGAACUCCCACUUUGCAAAGACCUGGUCGAAAGAUCAAAUGUGAGACAUCAUGACUUGCUGUGUCAUCUUGCAUAA
rnacentral:rRNA from 1 species